GGUUCUAUUGUGUAAUGGUUAGCACUCUGCACUUUGAAUCCAGCGAUUCGAGUUCAAAUCUCGGUAUGACCU
rnacentral:tRNA from 1 species